GGGGAAAGAAUUCCCCAAUUUCCUCUCUCUCAUCCCCCGAUCUCUCUCUCGGCUCUCACUCUCUCUCACUCCCUUGCUCUCUCACCCAAAAUUCCACCAAAAGUCCACCAAGAUCCACCUCCAUUCCACCCCUCAACCGUAGUCUUGUGCUUGAAUUUCGUGGGUCUCGCUCGGAGGAGGAGUAUUCGGAUGAUUUCGAAGUUUGGAGAGCUAGGGCUUGCUCAAAUCGAGUGGGUUUCGAUCCUUGACAUGAGGUACACUAUAAGGACACAAUCUUCAAGGAUAUGAAAUGCAUGCAGACAUCAAAGGAUAAAGUUAUUUUCUGAAGUACAUGUCUUCCUUCGUAAAUCAAACUGUAUUGUACUUUUUUCUUUAUUUUUGGAUUACUGUAUCAAUUUGACAGAUUUGUGGUAUUCGGGAACCGUAUUGUAAUUUGGGGUAUCUUAUGUACUAUUGUGAGGAUUUGUAAUUAAAAUGGUAUUGUUAUUUAUGUUAAAAA